rnacentral:tRNA from 1 species
GCCGAAGUGGUGAAAUUGGUAGACACGCUACCUUGAGGGGGUAGUGGGGGUAACCCCGUGGAGGUUCAAAUCCUCUCUUCGGCACCA